ensembl:snoRNA
UGAAUCAAUAAUGAUGAUUGAUGGUUUAGGAGUCAUGGGUAAUGAAUAAUAUGUGUCUGGAACUGAAAGGUCUGC